UGUUGUGUGGCCAGAGAACCUCUUCACCAGUUGGGACUGCCUCAAGGAUCUGACAGGAGGAAUUGAGUAUGCUGCCAAGAUAUUAAAUGAAAUUCCCCAGAAAGACAUUCAGUGCACUAAAAGAGCCUCAAAGGCAGAAAGGGAAGGAAAUGGGCAAGCUAUCAUUUUAACAAGGAUUAGACUGGGAGGAUGAGAGCCUGAAGGAUGGCUGUGGGCCUGAAGGCCGGCUGGCUGCUAGCAUCAGUGUUGCACGACUUGCUGUAAUUGCUGCUUUGCUGGCACUCCAGACUGA